CACUAUUAACUUUAACGAAGUAGCUUUGAUGGCGGGGAAGAGACAGCUGAUACUACACUUCCCUAACAAUAAACUACACUGACAGAUAAAAACAAACAUCGUAAAAGAAGGCCAGCUAGAAGAUGCCCAUAAGCCAGGAACUGAUUCCAGGUUGUUGGUAACCAGAGCCGGCAUGUGUGUCUGCUCUGCGACGUGUGUGCAUUUCACAGGAGGCACGGCAGAUGCCUCUGCAGCAGCGCGGUCCGCAGCCUCGUGGCUAGAGCAGGUUUAUGGAAGCCAGCCACUCUGGUCACCAGUCAGUGCUCCUCAGGAAUGUGUUUGGAGGCAACCUUCAGGGAAAGCUCCAUUUGGGUUCCAGAUUGAUGAGCAUCCAACAUUCUCCUUAGGAGUGGAGAAGAUAGCACACAUCAGAGCAGCCAAUUAUUUUUUCCUAAACCUCAGCAAGAGUCUUGUUGGGUGCCGAUACAGCACGCUCAGUGAUGGCUGUUUCUUGGGCAGUCCUGUAUUAGAGCUGUUUGAGAAUUUAGCGCACGCUAGCUACGUACAUGGGAUUAUCAACUCAGUUUUGUAACAUCAGCCACAAAAGCACCAAGGAGCGUUACUGAGGAUUUCAAGGUAUGUCUUCAAAAGCUGUAUUAAUUUUUCACUAGGUUUUUGUAUCCCUA
rnacentral:lncRNA from 1 species